rnacentral:tRNA from 1 species
GUCCAAGGAUGGUAAAUGAACCCAGUGUUCCGCUUACCGGGCAGAUGCCAUGUCCACUAGGCUACCCAUCCCUGGA